AUUGAACGCUGGCGGCAUGCUUUACACAUGCAAGUCGAACGGUAACAGGCCGCAAGGUGCUGACGAGUGGCGAACGGGUGAGUAAUGCAUCGGAACGUGCCCAGUCCUGGGGGAUAACUACUCGAAAGAGUAGCUAAUACCGCAUACGAUCUAUGGAUGAAAGCGGGGGACCGUAAGGCCUCGCGCGAUUGGAGCGGCCGAUGUCAGAUUAGGUAGUUGGUGGGGUAAAGGCUCACCAAGCCAACGAUCUGUAGCUGGUCUGAGAGGACGACCAGCCACACUGGCACUGGGACACGGCCCAGACUCCUACGGGAGGCAGCAGUGGGGAAUUUUGGACAAUGGGCGCAAGCCUGAUCCAGCAAUGCCGCGUGCAGGAAGAAGGCCUUCGGGUUGUAAACUGCUUUUGUACGGAACGAAACGGCUCUGGUUAAUACCCGGGGCUAAUGACGGUACCGGAAGAAUAAGCACCGGCUAACUACGUG
rnacentral:rRNA from 1 species